rnacentral:rRNA from 1 species
ACGAGCUGUGAAGUUUCGGAUGGAUGCACUUAGUGGCGGACGGGUGAGUAACGCGUGGGUACCUGCCUCACACUGGGGGAUAACAGUUAGAAAUAGCUGCUAAUACCGCAUAAGUCCGCAUGGAAAAAACUCCGGUGGUGUGAGAUGGAUCCGCGUCUGAUUAGCCAGUUGGCGGGGUAACGGCCCACCAAAGCGACGAUCAGUAGCCGACCUGAGAGGGUGACCGGCCACAUUGGGACUGAGACACGGCCCAAACUCCUACGGGAGGCAGCAGUGGGGAAUAUUGCACAAUGGGCGAAAGCCUGAUGCAGCGACGCCGCGUGAGUGAAGAAGUAUCUCGGUAUGUAAAGCUCUAUCAGCAGGGAAGAAAUGACGGUACCUGACUAAGAAGCCCCGGCUAACUACGUGCCAGCAGCCGCGGUAAUACGUAGGGGGCAAGCGUUAUCCGGAUUUACUGGGUGUAAAGGGAGCGUAGACGGCGUGGCAAGCCAGAUGUGAAAGCCCGGGGCUCAACCCCGGGACUGCAUUUGGAACUGUCAGGCUAGAGUGUCGGAGAGGAAAGCGGAAUUCCUAGUGUAGCGGUGAAAUGCGUAGAUAUUAGGAGGAACACCAGUGGCGAAGG